rnacentral:misc_RNA from 1 species
UUUUUUUUUUUUUUUUUCCUUUCUGAAGAACUUGUUUCAUUGGAUCAAUCUGUCAUGUCUCAUUAUGCCCUCUCUAGUCAAGAAUCAGAGUUAAAGCUAAUAACGAGAAUAGUAAAUAAAUUUAUUUUGGCAUUGAGAUUACACCAACAGAAGUCAAGAAUGGGAAGUGAAAGCUGCACUCUGCACUGCUUCAUAUGCCCUUGAGAAAACGAAGUUAAUUUUUUAUUUUUUGUUUGUUAAAUUUAUACGAUCUACUUCUACUGCUAUAAAAUAGAAUAGUUCUAUUGGCAAAUUGGCAAAGAUGAAAGUAGGGAUGGUAUUAAGUAUGGUAU